rnacentral:sRNA from 1 species
UUUUUGCGAGAGUGAUGGAAGUGGAGCUCUUUUUUUGAGAGUUUUUUUUGCCUAUCAAAAAAAAGCGGGAAUGGACAGCACGACCCGUA